CAACACAACAAACAUACAAAUGUAUAUAGUAGUCUGGCAUGUCUCGGAGAUGGACAUCUGGUCAUCCUUUUUGUGGACCCCCUCACCCCUCGGCCUACUACACUUGUACUCGGGAGACAACAAUGAGGGACAGAUUGUGUGGGUUUCUCCUGUCUAGGACAAGUACUUCAGCAGACCCCGUAAAUGCAUCACUGGAACUGUCACCGUGGUCAGAGUGCAGAACAGAAUUUCAAGGUUAAAUCACCAUGGAUAGAAGUGUUAACAUAGUAAAGAUUCUGAUAGAGAAGGCAUCACAAGCUUCAAUU